rnacentral:rRNA from 1 species
GACAAACAGAUCGAGUUAAGUUAAGUCGGCAUAAAAGGAGCCAGAAAAUAAUUUUUAAGAAAAUUAAUUUUUUAUGGGGAGGUGAAAUUCGUCCAUAAAAAUUUUUAUAUGUUGUUUCUUUAGUUUUGCGCUUCGAAAAUUAAAAAAGAGACCGGGAUUAGAUACCCCGUUAUUUUUCUUGUAAAUUUUGAUUAAAUGUGUUUGCCCGGGUAUUACGGGUCAAAAAGAGUAUUAAUUUGUUGAUGCAAAUAAGUGGCUUUUUGGGUACUUAAAACUCAAAAAACUUGGCGGUACUUCAAUUCCUUCUAGGGGAACCUGUCCCGUAAAUGAUAAUCCACGAUUUAUCUUACUUUUUUUAGGGCUUAACUCUUCAGCUUGUAUACCGUCGUCGUCAGAUUACCUUUAAGAGAAAAAUAGUUGUCGGGUUAAUUAGAGUAAUUUUACUAAAAAUUUACUGAGUUUUGAUGUCAGAUCAAGGUGCAGCUAAUGAAAAAGUGGAGAUGGGUUACAAUGUAAAUUUUAUAAAUAUGGAUGUUAUUUUGUAAUAAAUAAUUGAAAGUGGACUUAGGAGUAAUCAUAAAGUCAAAAUUUAAGUAGAGAGUUGUUGUGAAUAAAGGUGCUGAAGUGCGU